rnacentral:misc_RNA from 1 species
CUGAGUUCAUGCCCUUACGGGUAGAUCUCCCACCCUUGAAUAUCUAAACCUUUGUUGCUUUGGCGGGCCGCUUCGGCUACCGGCUCCGGCUGGUGAGUGCCCGCCGGAGAACCUUAAACUCUGAAUUACAGUGUCGUCUGAGUACUAUAAAAUAGUUA